rnacentral:rRNA from 1 species
ACCCGCUGAAUUUAAGCAUAUCAAUAAGCGGAGGAAAAGAAACCAACAGGGAUUGCCUCAGUAACGGCGAGUGAAGCGGCAACAGCUCAAAUUUGAAAUCUGGCUCCUUUGGGGUCCGAGUUGUAAUUCGCAGAGGGAGCUUUUGGCGUCGGUCGUGGUCUAAGUUCCUUGGAACAGGACGUCACAGAGGGUGAGAAUCCCGUACGUGGCCGCCGGCCUUCGCCUUGUAAAGCCCCUUCGACGAGUCGAGUUGUUAGGGAAUGCAGCUCUAAAUGGGAGGUAAAUUUCUUCUAAAGCUAAAUACCCGCCAGAGACCGAUAGCGCACAAGUAGAGUGAUCGAAAGAUGAAAAGCACUUUGGAAAGAGAGUGAAAAAGCACGUGAAAUUGUUGAAAGGGAAGCGCUUGCGGCCAGACGUGCGCGCGGUUGAUCAUCCAGGCUCCAGCCUGGUGCACUCCUCCGCGCGCAGGCCAGCAUCAGUUCGGGCGGUCGGAUAAAGGCCUCUGUCACGUACCACCCCCCGGGGUGGCCUUAUAGGGGAGGCGCAACACGGCCAGCCUGGACUGAGGUUCCGCGCAUCUGCUAGGAUGCUGGCGUAAUGGCAGCAAGCGGCCCGUCUUGAAACACGGACCAAGGAG